rnacentral:lncRNA from 1 species
AGCGCAUCCCCAAGGGCCUGGACCCGGUAGCCGACAUCUUCAAGGAGCACGUGGACAGCGAAGGCAUGAAGCUGGUCAAGGAGGUGAUCUGUGGGGAGGGGGGCGGGAGCGAGAUUUUCUCAGUAGAAGGCGGUCGGACACCGGCGACUGCCCAGCCCCAUAGUCCAGCACAGCUCCUGCUCAGCUCCUGCAUACGCCCUUACCCCCGCCCCCGUAUACCACUUCUCUAACUAGUCAUGAAUGUAACCCCCAUGUUGCACUCUACCAUCCCAACCCAAGGUGACAGAGGCGGUGGAGCUGGCGAAGGAGAAGCAGGCCAAGACCGGUCCCAGCCGCGACACCGGCACCAGCGCGGAGCAGCAGUACGUGCGCGCCGUCAUCGACCUGCAUGACAAGUACCUGCAGGUGCAGGGGGCUGGGGGCUGAGGGGGGGCCUGACUGACGGAGGGGGUUAACGUUGAACCAAUCCCGUAAGGAAACAGUCGCGCGGCAAGGAGAACUGCAGCUGCAUAAGCGAGUCGUUGUACAAGUGAUGAGGGGGGGGGGUGUAAGCCGUGGUUGUGGCAGGGGCGUGCGGUCAUGCACAGCUGUGGUUGCCGGGCGGGGUGCAUUCGUUCGGUUGGGUCUGCGCACGUGCUUGGAUCUUGGUGGGAUAUGCGCGCCGUUGCUAUGCCCGAGGGUGCCUGCAAGUUUGCACCUAUUGCACGAAUGCAUUGUCUUGUCAUACGAGCCCAUCGGCCUUUGCCGUCUCAUUUCUGCCUUUUCUGCCUUCUGUAUAACCCCCCUCCGUACUUAACGUAUUUCUCUCCCCCCUUUCCCCUGCACAUGCGCGCAGUACGUGUCCACCUGCUUCUGCAACUCGUCGCUGUUCCACAAGAGCCUGAAGGAGGCGUUUGAGAACUUCGUAAACAAGUCGGUGGCGGGUAGCACCAGUGCCGAGCUCAUGGCGUCCUUCUGCGACAACCUUCUCAAAAAGGUGAUUUUGCAGGGCGCAAUUUGCCAGGAGAGGGGACCAGGGGUUUGGGAUUGCGCAAGCCUGAUGCGCAAGGUUGAUGGCAAGGUUAGUGCGCAAGGUUGAUGCGCAAGGCUAAUGCGCAAGGUUGAUGCGCAAGGCUAACGCGCAAGGCACGGGACGAAGAGCGGGACAAGGACGUUGUACGCAACCUGAAUGAAGCUUUCCGAUUCCUCGCACUGCCCACCCACUGC